GCUUCAUCCAUGUUGUAGCAUAUGUCAGAAUUUCCAUCCUUUUUAAGGCUGAAUAAUGUUCCAUUGUAUAUAUACAUGAAACUCCUUUUCUUUUAAUAGAUGACAAACUCAUUUACAUCUAUUAAGUUACAUACAGACUCUCCAUCCUGGCAUUCCAUAACUUCUGCAGUCUGGGCCUGUUGUAUCUCUUUACUUGUGAUAUAUCUCUCACAACUACCCUCAUGCAACCAGUGCUUAAGCUAAAUGGAGUUAUUAGUUUUUCUGAGGUUUUGUGCUGCUUUCUUUCACUUCCGUGUCUUUUCUUAGGCUGUUUUCUUUGCCUGGUAUGUGCUCCUUUAAAUCCCUGCCCCACCUGACAGGCAAAAUUUAUCUAGCGUCAAAGCCCUUCUUGGUCCCACGUCCUUCCUUGAACUAACUCAUUCAUUUCCUUAUCUUGACAUUUCUCCUGAUGCCUAGACCUGCAUAUGCCUAUUGAGUGUCUCCACUUGGAUGUGCCUCAAGCACCCCAUACAGCUGGCCCUGCCUGGACUCUGUGUCCCCCCCAGGCCUGCUCACCCUCCUGCAUCUCCUCUCUUAGAGUAGCGUCACCAUCCACCCAGGUGCAGGACAUUGGGAGCCACCAGUGCUUUCCUCUCCCUCAUCUCAUCCGAUAAGUCACCAGGUCCUGUCAGUUCUACCUGCAAAGUGCUCUACUCCCCUUUCAGGCACACCCUUGAGUGGUGCUUACCAGGGAACAGAGGUGGCAGAUGUUUCAGGCUGGCCUUGUCAGUGUCUCUGGCCUCACCUCUGAGGCAGAACAUCAGCACUGGAUAAGCCUUGUUGAAGUCCCGUGAAAAAAUCCCCUACUCUUACUCUUUGCACCGGACUAGCACAGUGCUUGGUGCAGAGCAGGUGUCAAGGAAGUGUUUGUCCAGUUGCAACGGACCUGCCAGGCCUUGAAUACAAAUGAAGUUGAUUUACAUCAAUAACCCAGAGUUUCUCUAAUUACUCUCACCUACUUGCUCAGACCUCCAAACUCAUCUGCUAAGUCAGCCUCAGGAGUUUCUGGGCAUCUAAAGGCUACCUCCCAUGGUGUCCACAAUCAUUGGCAUCUGCCAUACUCUCCUCUCCCACCCGGGCUCCACUGGCGUCUGUGGCCAUGAAUGCCUCUUGAGGGAGAUUUGCCUCUGCUCCUACUGAGUGUCAGUGUCUGUGACAAAAGUCCUGGUUCCUGGGCUUGCAAUGCCUGAGCGUGCUGGGUGGGCUCCCUGAAGAGCAGGGCAAAGGUCUCUUCCCUCAUCCCAUGCCACCCUUGGCCACCUGAGCUCCAGAGCAGGCUUGUUGGGGUCCAAGUCCCUAAAGUCUCCUAGCACAGUGGCUCCUCCACAGGCUGACCACUGCCGCUGAUGGGGCUCGCAGGUGGCCCAGGGGGCAGGGCUCCCGUGCUUUCUACUCCCUUCCAAAAUUGCCCCCUCUUCAGAGGAAGUCUUGGAACGCAGGAGGUCUGGUGUCUGACCCUCAACUAGAAAGCCUCAAUAAGUUAUUUUAACUAAGGGACCAGGGAGCUAGAAAGGGCCUUGUGAGGUGCUGAAGUGGCCAGUGAGAGGUAGGUCCUGUUUUGUCCUUUCUCUCCUCAAUAAAGGUCAGUCCAUUUCCCCAUGGGUACCAAGGAGGGCUUGGACAAGAUCACUGGUUUCUAACUGGGCCAGAGAACCUUUGCUGGUUCAUGACAGCAUCUUUACUCAUCUGGGGCAAAAUAAGUAGAAUAAAGGCAGUGUAGCAAAUGUUUUCAUAAAAUUAUUUAACUUAAAGGACUAUUCUAUAUUCUUAUAUCCUGCUCUUCCUAUUUCUGUUUUAGGUAUUAAAAUAUUCUUUCUAUCAUGAAAUCAUAAGUUGAUGAUUCUAAAAGAAAUCCUCAUUUAGAAAGAUAAAAAGUUGGUCACCUUCUGUUGGCCCUCCAUUUUUUUUAACUUUACAGAUGCAUGAAUCCCAAAGUCUGUGAGCUGUGGGACCUCACGCCUACUCCUAGUGCUGAUGCCCCCGAGGCUGUCAUCCAAGGGAAGCUGGAGCUGUAACCAGGGAGAGAAGCAAUGGAGGGAGGCGGUUUGACCUGAGGAGAGAGAGACAUCCUAGCUGUCCUCCAGACCCAGCUCAAAUGCCACCUCCUGUGGGAAGCCUUCCAGGAACCCAUCCACCAGUCAGAUGUGGUUUCCCUUUUUCUUGGUACCAAGCUCUCAGGGCUGAAAGCGCUUUCUCCCAUGUUUUUCCCUUUGUAAUGUUCAUGGAUUGUCUUCCCUUCGAGGGCAGAGACUUCCAGCACAAGGCUGGCACAGAGGUGGUGCCCAGGGGUGUCUAUGGGACUGAACUUACCUCUCCCAUUCCACCACUGUAGAAGGCAAACUGCGAAGGCUCUGAUUACAUCUCAGAUCCAACACACACUGUAAUUUUGGGGGGUGGGGGAGUGGGCUCCUGAAAUUCAAAGCAUGGCUUCCAGAAUGGGGAUCUAGGUGUGGGGCGGAUGGCAGCUGCUAUUCAAAAAUGUUCAGGGAGGAAGGAGAGGAUCUUGUUUGCCGUGUCCAGGAAAUUGCCCCAUUGCUGGGUACCUGGUUGUUUGUGGCAACAUUGCUAACAAGCCUCUAGCUAGAGUCCCAGCAGAGUUCCUCUCACCCACCCCAGUGGGGCAGAGAGGCAUGUAGCUCCUUCCACCCAAAUCUACCUAUUAAAAGAACCCCUGAAUCCCACUGGCCCCCAGUGCAUCCCAGUUGCUGGUAAAAUGGAGCCAUUGCAGAGGUGGAAGGAAGAAGUACGUCAGUCCUGGCCCAGCGAUCCAGGCAAGUGUUGGCCCAUCCAGAGCCACAGCCACCACAUACUGAGCAUUUACAGGAUGCUCAGCCCCUGAGCUAUGUUAUCUAAUUAACUCUCACAAUAGCCCCUAUUUUACAGAUGAGGACUCAGAGGCUAAGUGACUGCUCCAGGUCACAGGAUGGCAGUAACUGUUGGAACUGGGACCCAGGCUGACCUGUUAGGUGGAGGGUGUCUCUUGGGUUUGGGUGGUGGGGUACACGGCUCUCCCUACUUCUAGGCAAACUCCUCUGUCUCACAAAAGGGGAUACUGACGCACAAGAAGGGAACAACUCUUCCGUUGACAACGUAACAAGUGAGUGGCAGAGCUGGGACGUGAACCCAGAUUUCCAGGCUGCUUCCGGCUCCCCUGGCCGCCCAGUAGAGUCUACCACCUAGCAGGGCAGACUUCAUCUCGGGAUGUUUAGUCCAUUGGGCUUUGCGGUGUCUUACGCCUUCAUAGGACAUAAAACUGUAGCCUUUGGGGAGCAGGGUGGGACCUUAGAGAUCAUCUCCUUGGGCUCCCUCUUUGUAGUGUUGAGGAAUUUAAGGCCUAAAGAAGGCAAAUGACUCACAAGGCCCUUUUGAUGUCAGGAAGUCCAGCCCAAAAAAAGCAGCCUCCUGAUCCAGAGUCCCUUGGAUUCUCGGAACCUAUUGGCUCCAACUUUAGAACCGAUUUUAAUACUAGGUAACUUGGUAGCCAAACCCAGAGCCAACUGGAAACUAUAAAUUAGAAUGUGGAGAAGGGCAGCUUCCACACAGAGCUGUCUGUUGAAUGAAUGAAUGAAUGAAUGGAUGGGUGGAUGGCUGCCAGGCUCAUUUCUGCCUCCCCCCCCUGGUUUCCCUUCCUCUGCUCCAUCUCUUGCUGUCAGAUUAAUUCUCUUCAAACAGCCUUUGCCAGGACAUGGCUCUGCUCAGCAGCCCCCAGGAGUUCCCCAUUGCCUGGAUAACUAACUGAACAGUCUCCUUCCGUAGCUGGCCCCUCUGAGCCGUUCUCCACAUUGUGAACUCUUUAAAUUGCAAAUCACAACACUCCCCUUCAGAGGCUCUCCAUCACCCCCAGGAAAAAGCACCAAAGUCUUACCUCAGGGUUUUAACUGCAGGGUUUGACCUGGACCAUCUUUCCAACCUCAUCUCAUGCCAGCCUCUCCCUUCCUCUGGCUGCAGCCACACUGCCUUCUCUCAAGUUCCCACUUCAGGGGCUUUGCACAUGCUGUUCCCUCUGCCUGGGGCAUUCCAGACUCUACUCUGCCUUGCUAACACUUGUACAUCCUUUAGAUCUCAACCUAAUGUCACUGCUUCCAGGCAGCCUUCCCUGACCUCUCCAGAUUGGGUUGACACCCUCCGUCAGCUGUUCCCACAGCCACCGGACUGCCCCCAGCACUGCACUGUCCCAUUUGACUGUGUGUAACGUCUUCAGUGUCUGUCUCCUGUCCAUACUAUGAGCUCCGAGGGGGCAGGGGCUGUCCUGUUCACCAUCAGGAGCUCAGUGCCCGGAACGCAGCCUGGCACACACUGUGUGGAAUGAUUAAAUAUAUUUGGUUGUUCAUUGAAA